rnacentral:rRNA from 1 species
GAGUUCAAGAGUACGUGAAACUGCUUAGAGGUUAAGCCCGAUGAACCUGAAUAUCCGUUAUGGAAAAUUCAUCACUAAUACUAUAGUAUUUAUAAUAUUAAAGAAAUGGUGUGCAAUUUUUCCAUAUAAGGACAUUGUAAUCUGUUAAUGUAAUAAAUAUUUAUUAAAAGAUCUUAUACAUAAGUUUAUUCAAAUUAGUUAUUUUCGGAUUUCUAACAUAGAAUAAAUGUAUUUGAUUUAAUAAAUCAUUGACAGAUUUAAUUAUAAUAUAGUGCUCAAAUUUUGAACGCAAAUUUUACAAUAAUAUGAUAAUUCAAUUUGUUAUAUUUAUUGUAUGCACUUAUAUGAUUAACAAUGCGAUAGAUUCAGGAUACCUUCGGGACCCGUCUUGAAACACGGACCAAGGAGUCUAACAUAUGUGCAAGUCAUUGGGUAUUUUAAAUAAAACCCAAUGGCAUAAUUAACUUAACUGUUUUUUUAAAAAUGGGAUUAGUUUAUAUUUUAUUAUGAAAUAAUAAUUCAAUCCCGGGGCGUUCUAUACAGUUAUGUAUAAUGAUAUUUAUAUUAUUUAUACCUCUAACU